GAAAUGCGAUAAGUAGUGUGAAUUGCAGAAUUCAGUGAAUCAUCGAAUCUUUGAACGCACAUUGCGCCCUUUGGUAUUCCUUAGGGCAUGCCUGUUCGAGCGUCAUUUAAACCCUUCAAGCUCAGCUUGGUGUUGGGUGACUGUCCGCCGCCCCCGGGCGUGGACUCGCCCCAAAUCCAUUGGCGGCCGGUACGUAGGCUUCGAGCGCAGCAGAAACGCGAACUCGGGCCCGCGGUGUCGGCUCCCAGAAGCCAUCUCUUCUAUUUUGACCUCGGAUCAGGUAGGGAUACCCGCUGAACUUAAGC
rnacentral:misc_RNA from 1 species